UAGCUCCGAGUUGGUUGCCUAUUGGAACUA
rnacentral:piRNA from 1 species